CAAUAUGCUAAUGCAAGUGGGAAAACUAAGAUUGAUUUUGGAAUGAAACAUGCAGUCUCAACUUAAGAACACCCAAUUUACAAAACUAUAUAUAUCCAGACAGAGUCAUACUGAAUGCCAUGUUCUCCCACAUCAAUGUCAAAUGCUUAGCAUGGCCAGCAAAAAGCUGUUCCUUUGCUGUAAUGCAACCGUGUCUUCUGAAUAUGGAUCCAUAUUCACUUUCCAUCUUAUCCUCCAUCAGACACACUCUUCUUUUCCUAAAGCAUUUGCAGGGCAACAGAGGGUUCCAGGUUUCAGAAUUUAAACAGUCGUAUCUCAUUGAAAAUAAGUUUAAUGAUUAUUAAGUUUCCAAGCUAGAUUACAGAAGUCUUUUUAGCCCAUAUCAUAAAUAAAAUAGUUCUGAAUUUUUCGUAUGGAAAAAUAUACUCUGAGUUCCAAGCAAACAACUUAAGAAAAUUUUUAGAACUAACACAUUCCUAUAUUGGGAAGAGCUCAAAAGUCUGUUCUUCCUCCCCAUCCACUGUUGUUUAAUUAAUCUCUUAAUAUCAUAAAGUCCCUCAUGUGCCAAGUGUAGACAGUCAUUUUUGAAUCAGGGCUCACUUUGUUAGCUUUUUUGUCAAUUAAACCUCUUUUCUAUAUAAAUUACCGAGUCUCAAGUAUGUCUUCAUAGCAGUGUGAAAACAGACUAAUACAGGAAUUUGGUACCAGGAGUGGGGCAUUGCUAUAAAGAUACUUGAAAGUGUGGAAGCACCUUUGGAACUGGGUAACGGGUAGAGGUUGGAAGAGUUUGGAGGGCUCAGAAGAAGACAGGAAGAUGAAGGAAAGUUUGGAGCUUCCUGGAGACUUGUUGAAUGGUUUUAACCAAAAUGCUGACAGUGAUGUGGACGAUUAAGUCCACACUGAGGUGGUCUCAGAAGGAGAUGAGGAACUUAUUGGGAACUGGAGUUGCCAAUAGAUCAGCAUAAAGCACAGGUUGGAGAGAUUGUAGAUAAAGGCAGAGAGGCUAUUAUAAUGCUUCUCACCUCCAGUUCCCCAGAUGGAAGACAAGGAGGCCCUGGAACAAAGGAAUGGCAUUUGGGACAAAGUGAUGUUGGCAAGUAAGAAAUGCAGCAGUGGUCCAACCCACAGGAGAUGCCAGACAAUUGCUCAUGGCAUGAGAUAGGGUCAUGAGGAAAAGCUGAAGAACUGAAAAUCUUUCUUCUUCCCUCCCUAGGCAUUCAUCCCCUAGUUGUUUAUCAAUUAUAGGUCUUGAUGGUCAUGUCCCCAGCCUCCCGCCUCAGGAGUAGGCUUCACAUGUCUCCCUUUCAGAAACAAAGCCACGUAAGACUCCAAAACCCCGCCUUCCCUUGGGCUCCACACAAUCAGCAUACAUCUUUCCUUAUCUGUUUUGUGCUCUGAAAAUCGUGUCUACCUCCAAAUGAUACAUCUUUAAAGUGAGUCACCCCUCCUCACAAUCUACUCCAAAAUUUCCAACAAGUUUUCUUCUUUUCAUUCUUCCUCCCACCAGCCUAUCCUAUUCCCUUCUCUCCCCCCACAAAAUCUAGCUCUUCUUUAAAUACAUUUAAACAUUUUCGCUAGGACAUUUCAUCUAUACAGGAUAUGCUAUAUUCUAACUAUUUCUUAGUAAACAUUGAAGGGAGUUUCUUCCUUUAUUCAAGUAUGGAACCCUGCUCAAUAUCCUUUUGGUCUUCAUAUGCCUUCUUUCAAGGCCUUUGUGAAAUUUUUUUCCAUGCCUGAAAGCCGGUGGGGUUUUACACAGGGACUGCGAUGGCUAAAUCCAAGGCAGAGUGGGAUCUUUAUCUAUUAACCAUUUGAUAACUCAAGUUUAUCCCUUGAUGAAUGAAUAAGUUAUCAUUUGCCUUUGGGUCCCAUUCUUGAGUGGUCAUGGAGAGUUCUGUAGCUCACCCUCUUUAUACUCAUAAUUUGCACAAAUUUCACCUAAGAGUAUUUACUUAACCACUUUAAUUCAAUUUGUCUCUACCUAAGACAUUUAAUUCAACAAAUAUUUUUUAAGCUUCUCUAUAAAAGGGACUCUGGCAACUUUCAGACCCGCACUGUAGCACCAGCUCUCUGCUGGCCCACCCCUUGCAGACUUUGGGCUUGCCUGCCUUCAAAAUCAUGUGAGUCAAUUCCUUAAAAUAAAUAUAUUUUUAUUUAUUUAUAUAUAUGUUUGCACACACACGCGAAUCUUAUUUUUUCUGUUUCUCUGGAGAAUUCUGACUAAUGCACCCCCAUUCACCAUCCAGGCUUUUGAGGAGAAAGAUACCAAUCUUAGCAGCAGAGGACACUCUGGAUAGAGCUAGGAGUUUGUUGCAGAGUCUGACAAAAGUUCCCUCUGCAGAAGGGAUGGAAGGAUAGCCUUGGGGGUUGAUUUAGGACUGGGUGUAUGACAUGGGGGAAAAGAAAUCCCUGGGGGAGCUAAAUGAGGGGAGGUGGACCCCUUAUGAUAGUUUAUCAGAGCAAUCUAAGAAAUCAUGUAGGCCUCUAAGAAAGCAUCAAGAAUCAAUGCAAUUUGAUUAAUUGACUUAAAAUAUGUUGAACUUUUCAGCCUCCAUUGUGUAUUUUUGGUGCAAUACUCUGUGCAACUAUUUCAUCCAAGACCAGAAGGGGCUGGAAGAUUGCCUGCUUCACAUUAAAACCCUCCUUAUUGUAUUGGUGCUGACACGACACAAGGAUAUGCAGUCUUUAUCCAGUCCUUAUUGCUCACAGAAAGAUACCAGUCCUUACUGCUCACAGAAAGUAGUGAAGCCUCCCUUCACUCACAGAGCCCACACAGGUAUGCCCUGGUUUAUGUAAUGAAUGGGCUGCUACAAAUAGGUGUGAUGCAUGCCUUUGUGAAUCACUUUAUAUUUUGAAGACACAUUAGAGGAGCUGGCUAUUUCAAAGAAAUUUCACAAGUGCCUCAUUUCUUAAUGUCACAAGCAUUUCUGAUUUAUAAUCAUAACCCCUUUCUAAUGUAUUAGCUUAUGAAGUUCCAUUUUUUGCCUAAGAGGUUUAAUCAAAGCAAGAUAAAACUAUGCUUAAUAAUAUUCAGUUACCUGAAAGAGCUAUUGCAGAAAUGCCUAAUAUAUUACCAGAAAGUAGCUUAAUGUCUCAAAUAAAUGUCAAGUUGUCCAAAUCAAACUGAUAGGCAGCUUAAUGAGGGAUAAAUGUCAUAAUUAUCCAUAUUUCUCCACAUUUUUUUUAGAAAAAAACAUUCACACAAUGAAGGGAAUCAGAAUCUGUUUUUAUAUCCCUAGAGUUAUAAACAUUUGUAUCAAAAUAUUUACAAUUAUAGUA
rnacentral:lncRNA from 10 species